UCGAGUUUUGAAUGGGUUGUUGCUGGCCUCAUACGGGGCAUGUGCACGCCUGACUUCAUCCACUCUUCAACCUCUGUGCACUUAUUGUAGGCUAGCGUGAAAGGUCGCAUUCAUUUGCGGCUGGAGCCUGUCUACGCUUUACUACAAACGCUUCAAUUAUAGAAUGUUUAUCUGCGUAUAACGCAUUUAUAUA
rnacentral:misc_RNA from 1 species